rnacentral:rRNA from 1 species
UACGGGGGGGGCAAGCGUUGUUCGGAAUUACUGGGCGUAAAGGGCUCGUAGGUGGCCAACUAAGUCGGACGUGAAAUCCCUCAGCUUAACUGGGGAACUGCGUCCGAUACUGGAUGGCUUGAGUUUGGGAGAGGGAUGCGGAAUUCCAGGUGUAGCGGUGAAAUGCGUAGAUAUCUGGAGGAACACCGGUGGCGGAGGCGGCAUCCUGGACCAACACUGACACUGAGGAGCGAAAGCCAGGGGAGCAAACGGG